rnacentral:lncRNA from 1 species
UACCUGGUUAACACAACCAAAAUUCCUGGCAGCUCUACACAUCAAAUGCAUUUGUCUCAAGCAGUAGCCACCUCCAGUCUGAUACAAAGGAUUACUCCCUCCCCAGUGCCAGCUGGAGCCCCAUCAUGGUGAGGCUCUACAAUGAGUUCAUGGAGAAGACUGUGGAUGGGUCAUGGACAAGACUUCCAGGUUGUUGGUGCUCUGUGCAAUUCCUUAAAGAAGCAGACCUUACUAAGAUUGCUAAAGCUGUCCCUGCCAUCUUCUUACAAAUGAAGUGACGCAGAUGCAAGGUGCUGCAAGGCCCACCUCCUCCUGCUCUGACAGGCAGACAGGAAACCAAAGCCCCUAUCUGAGCAGCCUCUGUCUCUCCCAUUCACCUCCAGCUUCCCAUGUGGACCUUUGCCUUUUCCUUCUUGGAUGGUGGAAACUCCUCCAGAUGUCAAGACUUGCUGUGAAUAAAGUUUUAAGAGGAGGUCAUGUAUCCAAACUGAUACAUGUGUAUUUCUUCCUGGGUAGAGGGUGUCUACAAUCCUUGGGAUGGGAAAACAUCAUGUAACCUGAUCAUACAAUCCAGAAAACAUGGGCCACUUUGGAUCUUUGAGGGACCAGUGUGUAAUUGAGGGAAGUUAGGUCAUAAGAGCCAAAUCACCUUCCCUUGACUGCAGAUAAAUCCAUUAAGGCUUGCCUUAUGCUAAUGACCUUGUUUUGAAUUAAAGUCACAAUGUUUUCUUUUUAAAAAAAAAAAUUCACUCCUCCAACUUUGCCAUUAAGUACUGCUCCAAAC